rnacentral:rRNA from 3 species
GACUCUCGGCAACGGAUAUCUCGGCUCUUGCAUCGAUGAAGAACGUAGCGAAAUGCGAUACUUGGUGUGAAUUGCAGAAUCCCGUGAACCAUCGAGUCUUUGAACGCAAGUUGCGCCCGAAGCCAUUAGGCUGAGGGCACGUCUGCCUGGGUGUCACA